rnacentral:rRNA from 1 species
GAUCCUACGGGAGGCAGCAGCGAGGAAUCUUGCGCAAUGGGCGAAAGCCUGACGCAGCAACGCCGCGUGAGCGACGAAGGCCUUCGGGUUGUAAAGCUCUUUUGACGGGGAAGAAGCUCUGACGGUACCCGUCGAAUAAGCCACGGCUAACUACGUGCCAGCAGCCGCGGUAAUACGUAGGUGGCGAGCGUUAUCCGGAUUUACUGGGCGUAAAGGGUACGUAGGCGGUGUUGUAAGUCUGCUGUGAAAUCUCCCGGCUCAACCGGGAGGGGCCGGUGGAAACUGCAACACUGGAGGUGCGUCGAGGCAAGUGGAAUUCCCGGUGUAGUGGUGGAAUGCGUAGAUACCGGGAGGAACACCAGUGGCGAAAGCGGCUUKCCAGGCGCGGCCUGACGCUGAGGUACGAAAGCGUGGGGAGCGAACCGGAUUAGAUACCCGGGUAGUCCACGCCGUAAACGAUGGAUGCUAGACGUGGGGAGUAUCGACCCUCUCCGUGUCGAAGCUAACGCGAUAAGC